UACGUAGGGUGCGAGCGUUGUCCGGAAUUACUGGGCGUAAAGCGCGUGAGGCGGCUUUGCAAGUCGGAUGUGAAAGCCCUCGGCUCAACCGGGGAAGUGCACCGAAACUGCAAGCUAGAGUCUCGGAGAGGAUCGUGGAAUUCGUCGGUGUAGAGGUGAAAUUCGUAGAUAUCGAGAGGAACACCGGUGGCGAAGGCGGCGAGUCGGACGAUGAUCUGACGCUGAGAG
rnacentral:rRNA from 1 species